UCGCUAGUAAUCGCGGAUCAGCAUGCCGCGGUGAAUACGUUCCCGGGCCUUGUACACACCGCCCGUCACACCACGAGAGUUGACAACACCCGAAGUCGGUGAGGUAACCUUUUAGGAGCCAGCCGCCGAAGGUGGGGUCAAUGAUUGGGGUGAAGUCGUAACAAGGUAGCCGUAUCGGAAGGUGCGGCUGG
rnacentral:rRNA from 1 species